rnacentral:rRNA from 1 species
GUCCACGCCCUAAACGAUGUCGACUGGUUGUUGGGGGUUUGACACUCUCAGUAACGAAGCUAACGCGUGAAGUCGACCGCCUGGGGAGUACGGCCGCAAGGUUAAAACUCAAAGGAAUUGACGGGACCCGCACAAGCGGUGGAUUAUGUGGAUUAAUUCGAUGCAACGCGAAAAACCUUACCUACCCUUGACAUGUCCGAGAGCCCGCAGAGAUGUGGGUGUGCCCGAAAGGGAAUCGGAACACAGGUGCUGCAUGGCUGUCGU